GGUCAUCAAUAUAUUUUUCACCAUGGCAAGCUCAAAGAUUCAAUUCAAAAGGCAAUUCUCAAACAUGAAUAUAACUCACUGCAAUUGAUUCAACAUAAGUUUAAAGAGUCAUCACAUCAAUGGGGUCAUGGAAAGAAAAACUCAUCCAACAUAGUUCAUCAGUUUGAGUAGAGCAAAACAAAAAGAAGAAGAAGGUUGUGGUUGUGUGUGUUUUAUUGAAAGCAAAAAUAACAAAAAUGAAAAAAUUUUUCCUAAUGCAAGCAAACUAAAGAUUAAAGCAAAAAUAAACUUAAAAGUAAAAAUUCAGAGAUAUGCACCCCCACACCUAAAUCAUGCAUUGUCCUCAAUGUAUAAGAAACAUAAAAGAACAAAGGAAACUGAGUACUCCCCUGGGUGUGGUGUGCAUGGUGCGAU
rnacentral:lncRNA from 1 species